GAGUGAACGCUGGCGGUAGGCCUAACACAUGCAAGUCGAACGGCAGCACAGUAAGAGCUUGCUCUUACGGGUGGCGAGUGGCGGACGGGUGAGGAAUACAUCGGAAUCUACUUUUUCGUGGGGGAUAACGUAGGGAAACUUACGCUAAUACCGCAUACGACCUACGGGUGAAAGCAGGGGAUCUUCGGACCUUGCGCGAUUGAAUGAGCCGAUGUCGGAUUAGCUAGUUGGCGGGGUAAAGGCCCACCAAGGCGACGAUCCGUAGCUGGUCUGAGAGGAUGAUCAGCCACACUGGAACUGAGUCACGGUCCAGACUCCUACGGGAGGCAGCAGUGGGGAAUAUUGGACAAUGGGCGCAAGCCUGAUCCAGCCAUACCGCGUGGGUGAAGAAGGCCUUCGGGUUGUAAAGCCCUUUUGUUGGGAAAGAAAAGCAGCAGGUUAAUACCCCGCUGUUCUGACGGUACCCAAAGAAUAAGCACCGGCUAACUUCGUG
rnacentral:rRNA from 1 species